AUUAACAUCAGUUUGAAAAUAUAAAACUUCCUUUAUUCAUACGCGGCGCCACAACGUUUCUUUAUCAUCAUUAUUAUCCUUUUUUUAUAUAAUUUUGCUAUCGUUGAGUCCAAAAUUCAAAUGACUUUGACACAUUUUUAUAUGUAUAUUAAUUCUAUACCAAUUAUUCGUUUCGAUGAAAAGAAAUAGUGAUAAUAAUACCAAUCACCAAUGUAAAAAAAAAAAAAUCCCUUCUUUGAAGAUUGAAUCACACUAUAUAUAUACAGUAUGCUAACUUUCUAUAUUUUUAGAAAGACAUAUUAUUUAAUAUCAUGAUUCAUGGAUUUAGUUGUAGAUAUGUUUCUUUGAAUUUAUUUUGUAAAAUCAAAUCAUUUUAGUUGUAUAUUUGUUUCUUUGAAAGUUAUUGAUAGAUC
rnacentral:lncRNA from 1 species